rnacentral:rRNA from 1 species
UACGAAGGGGGCUAGCGUUGUUCGGAUUUACUGGGCGUAAAGCGUGCAUAAGUGGUUCGUUAAGUCUGAUGUGAAAGCCCUGGGCUCAACCUAAGAAUUGCAUUGGAUACUGACGAACUAGAGUGCGAUAAAGGAUAACGGAAUUCCCGGUGUAGCAGUGAAAUGCAUAGAGAUCAAGAAGAACAUCUAUAACGAAGACGGCCAUCUGAACCAGCACUGACACUGAGACACGAAAGCGUAGAAAGCAAACAAG